GAGUCACUCAUUGAGAGAAGAGGGCACUGUCACCACCUCUGAGGUCUGCUUCUGGGAAGGGGACAUUCCUUGGGGUCAGGCCACCUUUCUCCUGAUCUGUGCCCCCAGAACCAGAGCCUUGCACAGUGCCUGGAACCUGCUUCUGGGACAAAUCAGUGCUUCUCAUCCCUUCCCCCUUUCUUUGAUUCAGAUAAUGUUUAUGAAGUGCCUACUGUGUGCAAGUCAUACCAGGCACCUGUCCUUAAAGCCUCUCUGCGGUGAAGGAGGGGUGUCAUUCUGUGAGAAACACCUGGUCGAGUCAGAGCAAUAAAAGACAUACCCUUCCCUUCCCCAUCUUAAUAGAAGGUGUCUUUUCCAGAAAAAUCUUCCACAAAUCAGCACUUCUCAUUAUAAUGGAAUUUAUGAGUUUGGGGGGCAAGGGGCUAGUCAUUUACCACAGGAUCCCAUUUGGUAACUCGGGAUUUUUGGUGUUUGUUUCCCUGAAAGAGCUUUCUACAUGUGGAGCUACCAUAGUAGACCGUGUUUCCUUUAUACACCUGUGUGCACCUUGUGGCUGGCUCCAAGUAGCAAAUCCGAAAAUUGACUAGUUGCAGAUCUGGUCGAAGGUAUCGAGGUUUUCCCCAGGCAGAGACAAUGGCAGUCAUAAAUCUCAGGCACCAAGAAUUAGACCACUUAACCCAAAUCGAGCCCUUUGACCCAUCUACGGCCAGACCCCACCAGACACUCACAUCCUCUGAUAAGAGUUGCUGGGCUAAAUGGUUUUGUCUUGCAUUUUCUUCCUUCCCCUUCCCCUUCCCCAAUUACUCAUCCAAAGAAUCUGAUGCUGCCUGUCAGGUCAUCAUAGCCAUCAGUCCUGUAUCUUCCACCAGCAGCCCUUGACUGUCCCAUUAACUUAUAUGGUCACGUCCCCCGCUGCGCUGCCUCCCUGCUGUAAAACAGUCUCUCCCUGUGAGACACUGUCGAGUGCUCCUUAUCAAAGCUUAGAUGGCCUCUGCUCAUCAAUUUCUUACAGAGGUGCUUCCUGACAGCCAGGCUGGUCGGACAGGGGGUGUGGGGGAGUUAGAUGGUGAGUGAUAGCCGUUUGCAGUCAGUUACCUCAAAUCCACUUUUCACUGUGCAGCCCGCAAAUCAUGUAGAAAGCCCCCGGCAUUUAGGGCUGGAGUAUUGGACUCUCACGUUUUCUACCGCAGUGCAAAGAACUGAGGAACAGUAGCACCUUCACAGGACCACGGCCAGAGAAAGCAGAAGAGGCCACGUGCAGAGCAACAGGGUGGCCUGGCCUGCUGUUCUUAGCUGGUCGUGCAAGGGAAAGCCUCAAGCAGGUCUCCUGGGUCCAACUGCCUCCACCUUGAGCGUCAGAUACGUCCCUGCCGGCCCCUCCUUCCUACGCCUCUUCAUUCCAGCCCUUCCUGUAGCCUCCCCUCCAGAGGCCUGUGGGAUUCCUCUGGACAAGUGCUUCUGAGAGGAAGUUUCUGGGCAGAUGGGGCUCUCUCCUCAGUGCUCCGUGGGUGGUCAUCCUAACAUCCCACAUGAUUCUUGGGGACCAUUUGGUCCUGGGUGAAAGUCAGCUCUGGCUAAAGUUCAGUAGUGGACAGAGUGCCCUGCCUCUGUGAUCUAGGGGCAGAGUUAACAUAGUUUCUAGCAUCUAGAGUUCCUUACUGAGUUUAGAUCCUUCAAGGAGCCAGCAUUUACUAAAUGCACAACUCCAACCACACCAUCUGGGUCAUUCCAUCACUUCUUCUGAUGUUCAUGGUGUCACAAGGUCACAUAGCUGCAACCGAAAAUCUGGAACCUUGAAAAGUUACUGCAGAAUGCCUGUGAUGUUCCCAAACUCAUCCAUUCCAUUGGCAAGUCCAGUUGCCCCUUUGCACCUGAAGCUCUGUGCCCCUGAAGGGGGCAGCAAGGAGAGAGUAGGCUCAGGACUGAAGAAACCAUGUGACCUCCUCACCUUCCCCUGUGCCUCCAUCAAGCAAGUUCUCGAUGCAAGCAGCUGAAUUGCGAUGCACAGAGACUUGGAAACCCCUUGAAAUGAAGAAAGAUUUUAAGUGGGCUUCAGCAUAUUGGAAGCUUGAAUAGGGUCCCCAAAUCCAUCUUGACUCUAACCUUAACCUCACACUUACCAUCUGAAGGUGACCUGAGUGUGCCCCUCUUCCUUACUCAUGGGCUUUAAAAGUCCUAGCAAAGCUGAUGGGAUCCAAGACACAUUCAGUGGCGAUAGUGGCACCUGGACCAGGCCCUUUGUGUCAGCAAAGGUCUGCUUGACUUUCCAUGAGGAGCUCACUGGCCGACCCGCUCCUCGGAGAGGAGAGGACGGAAAGUCAUCCCCAAGUUUCCCCCUGUCACUGAUGGCCAUGACUGGCAUUUGGGUUUGCUGCUUGAGUCCUGCUGAUCCAGAGCCAUGUGCCCUCCAGUUGACCCCACUCCACAAGCACAGGCCCACAGCUGCCCUUGGGGUCUUGGCUGAAAGAGCAGGUGGAGGAGGACAUCACCAUGGGAGCAUGGCCCUCACGUGGCCUUUCCUGAGUCCCCGUGGACCUUGUGUCAGCAGCAGCAGCCAGAGGCUCACCCACCACUGCCACCCGGGCUCCUCAGCAGGGACUCGAUCCUUUCAAAGAAAUGUUUUAAGAGGAAUUUGGCAUCUCCCCCAUGUGAACCAAGGGAAUAUUUGGGCAAGAAAAAAACAGACAGGGAAAUCCUUCUGAACAAAAUGGCUGUCUUUAUUUACUCUUUUUAAACAAAAACUUUCCGAACUUUUUAGUGUCAAAACUGUAACCAAGUGUCUCCCAGUUUUUUCCAACGUGUUUGGCGAGUGCUGUGACCCUGUUGUCGGUAUUUCUCCUCCUGCCUCUCUUGGGGGAGAGGUGGUUUUAGGGAUUGGUUUGGAGGGAGCGAGUUUUCAUCCAAUCCCACCUCCUCUCUUGUUUCUCUGCUUGUCCAUGUCAUCUGUGUGGUUCAGAGAAUUGGGUUGGAUUCAUUGUGUCCAUUGUUGAGAUUAUUAAGAUAUUAAAAAGUAGUUGUAGAACUGAAAAAUUAAAGAGCUGUGUUUAAAAGAUGCAAACCAAUAUCACGUUAAUAAAGGAAUUCAAGCUAUGGAGCAGCCAGCCUCCUCCCCUGCUCCCGACCUGGGCAAGCGCAGUGGCCACAUCCAGGCUGGCAGCCACCUGGUGAGGGAGGCAGCGGGUGAAGAAGAGGAGCAGGAACCUGGGGCCCAGAGUCCAGUCGUGCCAGAGUUUGCCCACACAUCCUCAGGACCUCUGGUCAAGGUUUCCAGAUUGGUGACCCCUUAACCACCCUCACCCUACAUUGGUCCCAGCUCAGUGUGCCUAAUACCGUGUGGUUGCCUGGGCUUGGCUGGAGCCCCAUGCCUGGCAACAGCCCUGCACAGGCCAUAGAACCUCUUCCUGCCCACUUGGUGCUAUAUCAUCCAGUGACCCAUCCAAAAUGGGCCAAGCCCUGGCCAGCCUGGAGCCUGCAAUCCAGGGGAGAGAGUCCUAUCCCAGCUUCUUCUGGCUUCAGUCCCUAGAUUCUUCCCCUGUGAGCUCUUUAGACCCCAGGUCUCCUGGGCCCAGCAAUGCCCUGGCCAGGAAAGCAAGUGACCCCUGCUGAAGCCAGAGUCCAUCCUGGGCCGGGGCGGCCCCCUCCCACACCACAGCAGUAUUGCCUUCAUCCCUGGGCAGUAGACCCGAGGGCAGUCCGCCAUCUGGGGGUCCUGUGAGCACAGUGGGCUCCAGGGGUCACUCCCCUCGCUCCAAAAGGAGAGCCUCGCUUUAGUGAGGAGCUGAGGGCACUGGGGGCCGACUCUUCGUAGCUUGAGUUCCUUCUGGCGAUGGCAGCAGCCGCAAUGGUGGUGUCUUGAAUAGACAUAUCGCUGCCUUCAAAUGUGUGUGCAACGGCCCGAGUUGUGUCACUGACAGGAUCGUGACAUUACAGAGAAAUUGUGUUAGAGUCAACUUUGCCUUGAUAAUUAUUGUAAACACUAUUCAUUUUUUUCUUUUUUAUUCACAAACUAAACCCAUCGGGAAAUUAUAA
rnacentral:lncRNA from 1 species